AUCCUAGGUCUCAUCAGUCUUGGGGGGCUCCAAAGUGCUGUUCGUGCAGGUAGUGUAAUAACCCAACCUACUGCUGAGCUAGCACUUCUCGAGCCCCUAAGACACUAGGCCCCUGGAAUUCCUAGGAUCCAAACCUGUUUGUUUUUCCUU
ensembl:miRNA sha-mir-93 sha-mir-93